rnacentral:rRNA from 1 species
UACGAAGGGGGCUCGCGUUGCUCGGAAUCACUGGGCGUAAAGCGCACGUAGGCGGAUUGCUAAGUCAGGGGUGAAAUCCUGGAGCUCAACUCCAGAACUGCCUUUGAUACUGGCAACCUUGAGUCCGGGAGAGGUGAGUGGAACUGCGAGUGUAGAGGUGAAAUUCGUAGAUAUUCGCAAGAACACCAGUGGCGAAGGCGGCUCACUGGCCCGAUACUGACGCUGAGGCACGAAAGCGUGGGGAGCAAACAGG